AAAUUGAAGAGUUUGAUCAUGGCUCAGAUUGAACGCUGGCGGCAGGCCUAACACAUGCAAGUCGAACGGUAACAGGAAGCAGCUUGCUGCUUCGCUGACGAGUGGCGGACGGGUGAGUAAUGUCUGGGAAACUGCCUGAUGGAGGGGGAUAACUACUGGAAACGGUGGCUAAUACCGCAUAACGUCGCAAGACCAAAGAGGGGGACCUUCGGGCCUCUUGCCAUCAGAUGUGCCCAGAUGGGAUUAGCUAGUUGGUGAGGUAACGGCUCACCAAGGCGACGAUCCCUAGCUGGUCUGAGAGGAUGACCAGCCACACUGGAACUGAGACACGGUCCAGACUCCUACGGGAGGCAGCAGUGGGGAAUAUUGCACAAUGGGCGCAAGCCUGAUGCAGCCAUGCCGCGUGUAUGAAGAAGGCCUUCGGGUUGUAAAGUACUUUCAGCGGGGAGGAAGGUGUUGUGGUUAAUAACCGCAGCAAUUGACGUUACCCGCAGAAGAAGCACCGGCUAACUCCGUGCCAGCAGCCGCGGUAAUACGGAGGGUGCAAGCGUUAAUCGGAAUUACUGGGCGUAAAGCGCACGCAGGCGGUCUGUCAAGUCGGAUGUGAAAUCCCCGGGCUCAACCUGGGAACUGCAUUCGAAACUGGCAGGCUUGAGUCUUGUAGAGGGGGGUAGAAUUCCAGGUGUAGCGGUGAAAUGCGUAGAGAUCUGGAGGAAUACCGGUGGCGAAGGCGGCCCCCUGGACAAAGACUGACGCUCAGGUGCGAAAGCGUGGGGAGCAAACAGGAUUAGAUACCCUGGUAGUCCACGCCGUAAACGAUGUCUACUUGGAGGUUGUGCCCUUGAGGCGUGGCUUCCGGAGCUAACGCGUUAAGUAGACCGCCUGGGGAGUACGGCCGCAAGGUUAAAACUCAAAUGAAUUGACGGGGGCCCGCACAAGCGGUGGAGCAUGUGGUUUAAUUCGAUGCAACGCGAAGAACCUUACCUGGUCUUGACAUCCACGGAAGUUUUCAGAGAUGAGAAUGUGCCUUCGGGAACCGUGAGACAGGUGCUGCA
rnacentral:rRNA from 1 species